rnacentral:rRNA from 1 species
UACGGGAGGCAGCAGUGAGGAAUAUUGGACAAUGGGCGCAAGCCUGAUCCAGCCAUGCCGCGUGUAGGAAGACGGCCCUAUGGGUUGUAAACUACUUUUGUAUAGGAAGAAAUCUUUUUACGUGUAAGAAGUUGACGGUACUAUAAGAAUAAGCACCGGCUAACUCCGUGCCAGCAGCCGCGGUAAUACGGAGGGUGCAAGCGUUAUCCGGAAUCAUUGGGUUUAAAGGGUCCGUAGGCGGGCUGAUAAGUCAGUGGUGAAAUGCAGGGGCUUAACUCCGGCACUGCCAUUGAUACUGUUAGUCUUGAAUUAUUGUGAAGUGGUUAGAAUAUGUAGUGUAGCGGUGAAAUGCUUAGAUAUUACAUAGAAUACCAAUUGCGAAGGCAGAUCACUAACAAUAUAUUGACGCUGAUGGACGAAAGCGUGGGUAGCGAACAGGAUUAGAUACCCUGGUAGUCCACGCCGUAAACGAUGGUUACUAGCUGUUUGGUACAAUUGAGUACUGAGUGGCCAAGCGAAAGUGAUAAGUAACCCACCUGGGGAGUACGUUCGCAAGAAUGAAACUCAAAGGAAUUGACGGGGGCCCGCACAAGCGGUGGAGCAUGUGGUUUAAUUCGAUGAUACGCGAGGAACCUUACCAGGGCUUAAAUGCAGAUUGACAGGUUUAGAAAUAGACUUUUCUUCGGACAAUUUGCAAGGUGCUGCAUGGUUGUCGUCAGCUCGUGCCGUGAGGUGUCAGGUUAAGUCCUAUAACGAGCGCAACCCCUAUUGCUAGUUGCCAGCGAGUCAUGUCGGGGACUCUAGUGAGACUGCCGGUGCAAACCGUGAGGAAGGUGGGGAUGACGUCAAAUCAUCACGGCCCUUACGUCCUGGGCCACACACGUGCUACAAUGGUAGGGACAGAGAGCAGCCACUUCGCGAGAAGGAGCGAAUCUUCAAACCCUAUCUCAGUUCGGAUCGUAGUCUGCAACUCGACUACGUGAAGCUGGAAUCGCUAGUAAUCGCAUAUCAGCCAUGAUGCGGUGAAUACGUUCCCGGGCCUUGUACACACCGCCCGUCAAGCCAUGGA